AGAGUUUGAUCAUGGCUCAGAUUGAACGCUGGCGGCAUGCUUUACACAUGCAAGUCGAGCGGCAGCGCGGGGGCAACUCUGGCGGCGAGCGGCGAACGGGUGAGUAAUAGAUAGGAACGUAUCCGGGAGUGGGGGAUAACUAGCCGAAAGGUUAGCUAAUACCGCAUAUUCUCUGAGGAGGAAAGCGGGGGACUCGUAAGAGCCUCGCGCUCGCGGAGUGGCCUAUCUCCGAUUAGCUAGUUGGUGAGGUAAAGGCUCACCAAGGCGACGAUCGGUAGCUGGUCUGAGAGGAUGAUCAGCCACACUGGGACUGAGACACGGCCCAGACUCCUACGGGAGGCAGCAGUGGGGAAUUUUGGACAAUGGGGGCAACCCUGAUCCAGCCAUGCCGCGUGCGGGAAGAAGGCCUUCGGGUUGUAAACCGCUUUUAUUCGGAAAGAAGGAGUGGGGGUUAAUACCUCUCAUGACAGACGGUACCGGAUGAAUAAGCACCGGCUAACUACGUGCCAGCAGCCGCGGUAAUACGUAGGGUGCGAGCGUUAAUCGGAAUUACUGGGCGUAAAGCGUGCGCAGGCGGUUCUGAAAGUCAGCUGUGAAAGCCCCGGGCUUAACCUGGGAAUGGCGGUUGAAACUACAGGACUAGAAUCUGGCAGAGGGGGGUGGAAUUCCCGUGUAGCAGUGAAAUGCGUAGAGAUGUGGAGGAACACCGAUGGCGAAGGCAGCCCCCUGGGCUGAGAUUGACGCUCAGGCACGAAAGCGUGGGGAGCAAACAGGAUUAGAUACCCUAGUAGUCC
rnacentral:rRNA from 1 species